rnacentral:rRNA from 1 species
GAGGGGUAUAGGUUUUCGGACCUAGAGACCGGCGCACGGGUGCGUAACGCGUAUGCAAUCUACCUUUUACUGAGGGAUAGCCCAGAGAAAUUUGGAUUAAUACCUCAUAGUAUUAUUGAGUGGCAUCAUUUAAUAAUUAAAGUUCCAACGGUAAAAGAUGAGCAUGCGUCCCAUUAGCUAGAUGGUAAGGUAACGGCUUACCAUGGCAACGAUGGGUAGGGGUCCUGAGAGGGAGAUCCCCCACACCGGUACUGAGACACGGACCAGACUCCUACGGGAGGCAGCAGUGAGGAAUAUUGGUCAAUGGACGCAAGUCUGAACCAGCCAUGCCGCGUGCAGGAUGACGGUCCUAUGGAUUGUAAACUGCUUUUGUACAGGAAGAAACACUGGUUCGUGAACCAGCUUGACGGUACUGUAAGAAUAAGGAUCGGCUAACUCCGUG